rnacentral:ncRNA from 1 species
CCUGCUAAGUUUAAGCAUAUCACUAAGCAGAGGAGAAGAAACCAAGUAUUUCCAUAGUAACAGCAAGUGAUCCAGAU